rnacentral:rRNA from 1 species
AGAGUUUGAUCCUGGCUCAGAACGAACGCUGGUGGAGUGCCUUAUACAUGCAAGUCGUGCGGGAUUAUUUAGCUUGCUAAAUAUGAGAGCGGCGAACGGGUGAGUAACAAGUGAGUAACCUGCCCUAUAGUUGGGGAUAGCCCUCCUAACGGAGGAUUAAUACCGAAUAUUGUUUGACGAUUCAUGUCGUCGUAACGAAAGCCUUCGGGCGCUAUAGGAUGGACUCGCUCAAGAUUAGCUAGUUGGUGAGGUAAGAGCUCACCAAGGCAACGAUCUUUAGCCGGCCUGAGAGGGUGAUCGGCCACAUUGGGACUGAGAUACGGCCCAGACUCCUACGGGAGGCAGCAGUAGGGAAUAUUGCACAAUGGACGCAAGUCUGAUGCAGCAACUCCACGUGUGGGAUGACGCAUUUAGGUGUGUAAACCACUGUCAACAGGGAAUAAAAAGGCAUAUGCCAAUUGAACGUACCUGUAAAGGAAGCACCGGCUAACUUCGUGCCAGCAGCCGCGGUAACACGAGGGGUGCAAGCGUUGUUCGGAAUCACUGGGCGUAAAGAGAGCGUAGGUGGGCGAUCAAGUCAGAUGUUUAAUUCCAAGGCCUAACCUUGGGUAUGCAUUUGAAACUGGUCAUCUUGAAUAGUUCAGGGGCUGAUGGAAUACUUGGUGUAGCGGUGGAAUGCGUAGAUAUCAAGUGGAACACCAAUGGCGAAGGCAAUCAGCUGGGGACAUAUUGACACUGAGGCUCGAAAGCGCGGGUAGCAAACAGGAUUAGAUACCCUGGUAGUCCGCGCCGUAAACGAUGUUCACUAGAC